rnacentral:rRNA from 1 species
AUUGAACGCUGGCGGCAGGCCUAACACAUGCAAGUCGAACGAGUGGCGGACGGGUGAGUAAUGUCUGGGAAACUGCCCGAUGGAGGGGGAUAACUACUGGAAACGGUAGCUAAUACCGCAUACCAUCGGAUGUGCCCAUAUGGGAUUAGCUAGUAGGUGGGGUAACGGCUCACCUAGGCGACGAUCCCUAGCUGGUCUGAGAGGAUGAUCAGCCACACUGGAACUGAGACACGGGCCAGACUCCUACGGGAGGCAGCAGUGGGGAAUAGUGCACAAUGGGCGCAAGCCUGAUGCAGCCAUGCCGCGUGUAUGAAGAAGGCCUUAGGGUUGUAAAGUACUUUCAGCGAGGAGGCGUUACCCGCAGAAGAAGCACCGGCUAACUCCGUGCCAGCAGCCGCGGUAAUUC